rfam:Triticum urartu cultivar G1812 contig1220423, whole genome shotgun sequence.
AUUGUACUCCCUCCGUCCGGAAAUACUUGUCAUCAAAAUGAAUAAAAGGGGAUGUAUCUAGACGUAUAUUAGUUCUAGAUACAUCUUUUUUUAUCCAUUUUGAUGGCAAAUAUUUUUGGACGGAGGGAGUAUCUU